GUGCACGCUGGCGGUAGGCCUAACACCUGCAAGUCGAACGGCAGCACCGUAAGAGCUUGCUCUUACGGGUGGCGAGUGGCGGACGGGUGAGGAAUACAUCGGAAUCUACUUUUUCGUGGGGGAUAACGUAGGGAAACUUACGCUAAUACCGCAUACGACCUACGGGUGAAAGCAGGGGAUCUUCGGACCUUGCGCGAUUGAAUGAGCCGAUGUCGGAUUAGCUAGUUGGCGGGGUAAAGGCCCACCAAGGCGACGAUCCGUAGCUGGUCUGAGAGGAUGAUCAGCCACACUGGAACUGAGACACGGUCCAGACUCCUACGGGAGGCAGCAGUGGGGAAUAUUGGACAAUGGGCGCAAGCCUGAUCCAGCCAUACCGCGUGGGUGAAGAAGGCCUUCGGGUUGUAAAGCCCUUUUGUUGGGAAAGAAAAGCAGCAGGUUAAUACCCCGCUGUUCUGACGGUACCCAAAGAAUAAGCACCGGCUAACUUCGUG
rnacentral:rRNA from 1 species